rnacentral:rRNA from 1 species
UACGUAGGUGGCAAGCGUUGUUCGGAAUUAUUGGGCGUAAAGCGCGUGUAGGCGGCUAAGUAAGUCGGGCGUGAAAUCCCACGGCUCAACCGUGGAAGUGCACUCGAAACUGCAUAGCUAGAGUCCUGGAGAGAAAGGUGGAAUGCUUGGUGUAGAGGUGAAAUUCGUAGAUAUCAAGCGGAACACCGGUGGCGAAGGCGGCCUUCUGGACAGUGACUGACGCUGAGACGCGAAAGCGUGGGGAGCAAACAGG